rfam:Salmo salar isolate Sally breed double haploid chromosome ssa13, whole genome shotgun sequence.
UGCAUGCACUACUGUAAGUCGCUCUGGAUAAGAGCUUCUGCUAAAUGACUAAAA